rnacentral:rRNA from 1 species
GAUGAACGCUGGCGGCGUGCUUAACACAUGCAAGUCGAACGGAAAGGCCAGUGCUUGCACUGGUGCUCGAGUGGCGAACGGGUGAGUAACACGUGGGUGAUCUGCCCUGCACUUUGGGAUAAGCCUGGGAAACUGGGUCUAAUACCCGAUAGGACCAUGCUUUGGAUGGUGUGGUGGAAAGUUUUUUCGGUGUGGGAUGAGCUUGCGGCCUAUCAGCUUGUUGGUGGGGUAAUGGCCUACCAAGGCGUCGACGGGUAGCCGGCCUGAGAGAGUGUACGGCCACAUUGGGACUGAGAUACGGCCCAGACUCCUACGGGAGGCAGCAGUGGGGAAUAUUGCACAAUGGGCGCAAGCCUGAUGCAGCGACGCCGCGUGGGGGAUGACGGCCUUCGGGUUGUAAACUCCUUUCGCAACUGACGAAGCUUUUUGUGACGGUAGGUUGAGAAGAAGCACCGGCUAACUACGUG